UGGUGGAGUGAUUUGUCUGCUUAAUUGCGAUAACGAACGAGACCUUAACCUGCUAAAUAGUCAGGCCAGCUUUGGCUGGUCGCCGGCUUCUUAGAGGGACUAUCGGCUCAAGCCGAUGGAAGUUUGAGGCAAUAACA
rnacentral:rRNA from 1 species